CUAGUUUUCCUUAAUAAUUAUACUCAUGAUAUGCUGAUGUAUGAGUUCUACAUGUAAUUUUGAAAGAAAAACAACCAGACGGACAUCAAAACAACGAAUCUGAAGGCAAUUGGCUCACCAGUUUGAGUAUAUACAGCAAAAACAUCCUAUUUCAGUUGUAUGUGCAUACUGAAUGAACAGUGUCAGUCAAAGAUGAGGGGCAGCAUUAAAAGAGCUAGAGGAGAAAGGAUGUAAUGAUUGCUUCAGAUACGUUAAAUAUAAUCAAAACAUUCACACCAUGACACUAUCUAACAGUUAUCAUUCCUGUCCUCAGUUUUCUUCUCUCUCAUUGUGCCUCUGUCAUAUCUAAAAUUACACUGUAAAUUCCUUGGAGGCAAAACUUGUGAUGAAAUCAGAGCAGCUAGAGCCUGUAAGUCCUGCUGUUUCUAAAGUCUCAAAUCUCAGCCUUUGGCUCAUUGGGAGUUUUGCCUUGUGGAGUACUGAGUUUCUUCAUCUCACAUUGACUUCAAUGAGAGCUGAAAGGUACUCAGCAGAUUCAAGUUAA
rnacentral:lncRNA from 1 species